rnacentral:rRNA from 1 species
UCUGGGAUUAGAUACCCCACUAUGCCAUGACGUACUCCUUUGACCUUAUACCGUCCGCCAGAAAAUUACGGGCAACCUCUUCCCCAGCCUAAAACUCAAAAGACUUGACGGUGUCCUACCACCCUAGAGGAGCCUGUUACAUAAUCGAUAACCCCCGUUCAACCCAACCACCCCUAGCCCCAACCCCGCCUAUAUACCGCCGUCACCAGCUUACCUCCAAAAGCAACCAAAGUAAGCAAAAUAGUUACCCAUUAACACGUCAGGUCAAGGUGUAGCUCAUGAGGUGGCGCUUAAUGGGCUACAUUAUCUGCACCAGAUAAUACGCAUCAUUUUUUGAAACAGUAAUAUUAAGGUGGAUUUAGCAGUAAGCUCACGCAAGCAUGCCUAACUUAACAUUUGCCCUAGGACAUGUACACACCGCCCGUCACCCUCCU